rnacentral:lncRNA from 1 species
AAUCGAGAAAGGAUGUUUGGUUGCCCAGUAACUGUAAUGUGCCCAUGUUGACUGGAUUGAUUGUGUCGGAUUGGGUAUCUAUAUCUAUAUAGGUAUGUCGUCAGAGAAGAUAUUGUUGUGCUUCAGUCCAAUAAAAGUUUGGCAGUUGUGUCAUUCCCUGUAAAUAGAAUUAGCAAGGGGUAAUUUUAUCCCGCGGAAGGCCCUCCAAAUACAGGAUCCGUCUAUAUAUAUCUUGGAAGAAGGGAUCCAUAUAUAGAUCCCCCUUUGUCAUCUUCCUCUACCUGUACAUCUCACGCUCUCCAUUCAUCUCCUAAGGGCUGCACCAAUUCCUUUCCUUGUUUUCCUUCUUUUUAUCUGUUGUCAUUCGAUCGGUUUGCCACCGGCGGUUGACUCCUCGCAUUUCAAAGCUGAUGGUGAAGCUAGUAUUGCCCUUGUAAUUGGCACCAUUGAGGAAGCAGUUUACAUUGAGGAUAUCCUCCAAAACCUGAACUCUAUGACAUCGCAACAUUGCUAGAUGAGAUGGGCGCUCCUUCAUCAUGAUAAUACUCCCUCCAUUUACUUAUACAAGGCCACUAUGAAAAAUACACUUUGCAUCUAUAC